UACGGGGGGGGGCAAGCGUUGUUCGGAAUUACUGGGCGUAAAGGGCUCGUAGGCGGCCAACUAAGUCAGACGUGAAAUCCCCAGGCUUAACCUGGGAACUGCGUCUGAUACUGGAUGGCUUGAAUUCGGGAGAGGGAUGCAGAAUUCCAGGUGUAGCGGUGAAAUGCGUAGAUAUCUGGAGGAAUACCGGUGGCGAAGGCGGCAUCCUGGACCGACAUUGACGCUGAGGCGCGAAAGCUAGGGGAGCAAACGGGG
rnacentral:rRNA from 1 species